AGGUCAAGCAAUAAGGGCACAGGGCGGAUGCCUUGGCACUAAGAGCCGAUGAAAGACGUGAUAAGCUGCGAUAAGCUUCGGGGAGGAGCAAAUAUCCAUUGAUCCGGAGAUGUCUGAAUGGGGAAACCCACAUGAGCAAACCUCAUGUAUCCUACAGCCAAUACAUAACUGUAGGAAGGGAACCCGGGGAACUGAAACAUCUAAGUACCCGGAGGAAAAGAAAGAAAACUCGAUUCCGUAAGUAGCGGCGAGCGAACGCGGAGGAGCCUAAACCGGAAUGCGUGCAUUCCGGGGUUACGGACUGCAUUUAAGAUUCUUUGAAGCUAACAGAACGGUUUUGGGAAAGCCGGCCGGAGAGGGUGAAAGCCCCGUACGUGAAAGCUGAUGAGACUGAGCAGGAUCCAGAGUACCACGAGACACGUGGAACCUUGUGGGAAAUCAGGGGGACCACCCCCUAAGGCUAAAUACUACUUAGUGACCGAUAGCGCAUAGUACUGUGAAGGAAAGGUGAAAAGGACCCCGGGAGGGGAGUGAAAGAGAACCUGAAACCCUGUGUCUACAAGCUGUGGAAGCACUUUAUAUGUGCGACCGCGUACUUUUUGUAGAACGGUCCGGCGAGUUACGCUUACUGGCAAGGUUAAGCACUUCAGGUGUGGAGCCGUAGGGAAACCAAGUCUUAAGAGGGCCUUAAGUCAGUAGGAGUAGACCCGAAACCGGGUGAUCUAUCCAUGUCCAGGUUGAAGCUGCCGUAAGAGGUAGUGGAGGACCGAACCCACAUCCGUUGAAAAGGGUGGGGAUGAGGUGUGGAUAGGGGAGAAAUUCCAAUCGAACCCGGAGAUAGCUGGUUCUCCUCGAAAUAGCUUUAGGGCUAGCCUCGAUACAGAUUUGCGGAGGUAGAGCACUGAAUUUCCUAGGGGGCGUCAAAGCCUACCGAAGAAUAUCAAACUCCGAAUGCCGCGUAAUCGAUUAUCGGGAGUCAGACUGCACGAGAUAAGUUGGGCGGUCAAAAGGGAAAGAGCCCAGACCUUCAGUUAAGGUCCCCAAGUGCGCGUUAAGUGGAAAAGGAUGUGGGAUUUCGAAGACAACCAGGAUGUUGGCUCAGAAGCAGCCAUCCAUUCAAAGAGUGCGUAAUAGCUCACUGGUCGAGAGGUCCUGCGCCGAAAAUGUCCGGGGCUGAAACGCGCCACCGAAACUAAGGAACCGAAAGGUUGGUAGAGGAGCAUUGCAUGCGGGAAGAAGCAGUACCGUAAGGAGCUGUGGACUGCAUGGAAGAGAGAAUGCCGGAAUGAGUAGCGAGAAUAAGGUGAGAAUCCUUAUGGCCGAAUAUCCAAGGUUUCCAGAGUAAAGCUGAUCUGCUCUGGGUAAGUCGGGGCCUAAGGCGAGGACGAGAGUCGUAGCCGAUGGACAACAGGUGGAGAUUCCUGUACUGCGGUAUGACAGAACUGUGGGGACACGUAAGGAAAGCGGAAGCCGGG
rnacentral:rRNA from 1 species